GCAGUCGCCGCGGUAAUACGAAGGGUGCAAGCGUUACUCGGAAUUACUGGGCGUAAAGCGUGCGUAGGUGGUGGUUUAAGUCCGUUGUGAAAGCCCUGGGCUCAACCUGGGAAUUGCAGUGGAUACUGGGUCACUAGAGUGUGGUAGAGGAUAGUGGAAUUUCCGGUGUAGCAGUGAAAUGCGUAGAGAUCUGGAGGAAUACCGGUGGCGAAGGCGGCCCCCUGGACAAAGACUGACGCUCAGGUGCGAAAGCGUGGGGAGCAAACAGGAUUAGAUACCCCAGUAGUCCCUGUCUCUUAUAC
rnacentral:rRNA from 1 species